GGACGCAACAGUCAGCACAGUCAGUGGACGCGAAACGGUGACGCCGGCGCGUUUCGAUUGUUGUUGAAUCUUGUUUUUUUUUUGUUUCUAUACUUCUGGUCUGAGACUGGCCAUUGCUCUUCUCACAGCCCGGGGCGGCAUUUAUGAUUGUUUGUGGGACAACCCGAUCUAGAGAACAUCUCUUGUUUACAUUUAUUUGUGGAUCACCCAAACCCGCCGUGGUGUAUGUGGUUAGCCGUUAUCAGUGAUUUCGUUCGUAUGGUGUACCGAUAAGAGUGUAGAGUUUAAACCACGCUAGCGUUGAAAGUAAUCGGGUGUUCGUUUGCUGUAGUUUAUGAUCCAGUGACCAGUUCAUACUCCGUGUCUGGUUGACAGCUUGAAGUUCAUAACUUCGCGAAAGUAGGGCUCCAAUUAUGCAACUAAAGUCGGAGACUGCGAAAUAAGUGAUGUAAACUGCACUAAAGUGUGACGGUUGGCGAAUGAGUAGUGAUUCUGUGAGGAAAAGAAAAUCCACUGAUUUUGAGUGAAGAAGAUGUGAUUAGUCCCGGUGCGAGUGAUGAAUAUAAGGAAGAGAUCAUAGAAAUACGAGACGCAUUUUUUUCGUAGCAGUUCUUUACUCAGUAAGUGCAUACCAUACCAGAGAGGCCAAGUGCUAGUGAUAAGAAGACCUAGUUUAGGGAUACUUAAUAGAUAGUUAGUGAAGCUAGUCAGAACAAGUGUACAAGAGAAGAGCAAACGUCUAAAUUGACUGUGAUAAGGUCGGAAAUCUUAAGUGUAACAAGAGAAGUAAAAAUUAUGUCCCCAGCUGAACCAGUUCACCGAGCGUUGGGCCUCGCGCUCCUCACAGUAACUGCUCUGGUGCACGUGCUACACGGUGCCGUUGUUAUAGAAAAGUUCCCGCACGUCGUUGACAACCGGCUCCAGGCGGACCUCCUACCACCAAGCUGUCCAAGCGAAAUCUACUGCCAUGGUAAGCUGCUCGAUACGGUGCAGAUGAUGGCCAUCUACCAGGACUCGAAAACCUUCGUCGAUAUGAAGAUGCGAAAGUCGCCCAACGAAACGUUGGCCUCGUUCAAUGACUUCAUGGCGGAGAAGAAAAAUUCCCCCAGUAAGCAGGACGUUAAAACCUGGGUAGAAUUGAUGUUCGACAAGCCGGGGGCAGAAUUUGAAGAAUGGAUCCCGGACGAUUGGGUAGAGAAUCCAAGCUUUCUGCAGCGUAUCAAGGAUUCGGAGCUGCGUGGCUUUGCCAAAGACCUGAACAGUAUAUGGCACCAGCUGGGUCGCAAAAUGAUCGCCGAUGUUGGGAUUAAUCCCGAUCAGUACUCUAUCAUUCCUGUUGAUCACCCGGUAAUAGUGCCUGGUGGACGAUUCAGAGAGUUCUACUACUGGGACUCGUAUUGGAUCGUACAAGGACUUCUUCUGUCAGAAAUGACCAAGACGACUCGAGGUAUGCUGGAAAAUUUCCUGUCCAUCAUCCAGCGAUACGGUUUUAUUCCAAAUGGCGGUCGUAUCUACUACAGCAUGCGAUCGCAGCCGCCAUUGCUCUGUGGUAUGGUCAAGUCUUACGUCGAUGCAACCAAAGACACUAAAUUUGCUGAAGAUGUCGUCGAAACCCUGGAACGUGAGUUCGAGUUCUUCAUGAAUAAUUACAUCGUUGAAGUAAACGGUCACCAGCUCGCUGCCUAUGGAUAUAAGUCUAGCGGUCCUCGGCCGGAGUCCUACCGGGAGGAUGUGAUCAGUGCUCAGGUAUUCGAAAAGGAAGAUGAUAAGCAGGAUUUCUACUGUGAGCUGAAGGCUGCCGCCGAAAGUGGAAUGGACUUUAGCAGUCGAUGGUUCAUUAAGGAAGGAACGAAUGCUGGAAAUCUGACGGAUUUGAAGUGCCGAUCCAUUAUCGCUGUUGAGCUGAAUGCGAUUCUCUACUGGAACGCUUUGAUCAUUUCGGAAUUCUACUCAAUGAAGAAUGACCUCCAGAAGGCUAACAGGUACGAAGCGAAAGCGGAUGAUAUUAAAAAAGCCAUUGAUGCAGUAUUAUGGAACGAAGAAGAGGGCAUUUGGUUGGAUUACGAUUUGAUCAACAAAAAGCACCGACAUUACUUCACUCCCACCAAUCUUUCUCCGCUGUGGACGGGAUGUUAUGACAAAACAGACGCGAGUCUACCGAAAAAGGUUCUGGCGUACAUCGAGAAACUCGAACUGGACAAGUACCCGGGAGGUGUUCCGAACACCUUGUCCAACACGAACGAACAGUGGGACUUUCCCAAUGUGUGGCCACCGAUGCAGCACAUGUUGAUCAUCGGUCUGGACGGUAUGAACAGCCAGGAAACGAAGGAACUGGCCUUUAGGUGGGCUCAGCGAUGGGUGCGGAGCAACUACAUAGCGUAUAAUGAAACCAAGGCCAUGUUUGAGAAGUACAACGCAGAGGAGCUAGGCGGACAUGGAGGCGGCGGCGAAUACGAAGUCCAGACCGGUUUCGGUUGGUCCAAUGGUGCCGUGAUGGAUUUGAUGAACAAAUAUGGCGACCGGCUUACGACAGACCGUUCCCACCCGCCCAACGUUUCGUCCGAUCAUUUAAUGAACACGGUAAUUUACAUUCUAAAUAUCACUAAACUGUUUGAAUUUCCCAAAACACAACAGAUGACAACAAAAACAACGCCGGUGCCCUGGUGUCCUUUUCGCUAAACACGGGUAUCGUGGCAACGAUAGUGGCCUUUUUGGUUGGCAUAGUUGGGUAAGAAAUAAUUCGCUGAUUCCGAAUUGAUUGAAACCCGUUGAUCAACGCCCAGAACCGAACAUCGUACAAACUAACGCCAAUCAACCCUCGCAAACAUCCGUAUUUACUAAAACGUGAUCUAAAAUUUGACUGUCUAUGCAUGGUAUUAAUGCAGGAAAGAGUACAUGAAACACAACAUACAUUCCUAAUAAAGUAUUUUUUUACUAAUAA